rnacentral:rRNA from 1 species
GACGAACGCUGGCGGCGUGCCUAAUACAUGCAAGUUGAGCGCUGAAGGUUGGUACUUGUACCGACUGGAUGAGCAGCGAACGGGUGAGUAACGCGUGGGGAAUCUGCCUUUGAGCGGGGGACAACAUUUGGAAACGAAUGCUAAUACCGCAUAAAAACUUUAAACACAAGUUUUAAGUUUGAAAGAUGCAAUUGCAUCACUCAAAGAUGAUCCCGCGUUGUAUUAGCUAGUUGGUGAGGUAAAGGCUCACCAAGGCGAUGAUACAUAGCCGACCUGAGAGGGUGAUCGGCCACAUUGGGACUGAGACACGGCCCAAACUCCUACGGGAGGCAGCAGUAGGGAAUCUUCGGCAAUGGACGAAAGUCUGACCGAGCAACGCCGCGUGAGUGAAGAAGGUUUUCGGAUCGUAAAACUCUGUUGGCAGAGAAGAACGUUGGUGAGAGUGGAAAGCUCAUCAAGUGACGGUAACUACCCAGAAAGGGACGGCUAACUACGUGC